UACGUAGGGGGCGAGCGUUGUCCGGAUUUAUUGGGCGUAAAGAGCUCGUAGGCGGUUUGGCAAGUCGGAUGUGAAAUCUCCAGGCUCAACCUGGAGGGGUCAUUCGAAACUGCUAUGACUAGAGUUCGGUAGAGGAGUGUGGAAUUCCUGGUGGAGCGGUGAAAUGCGCAGAUAUCGGGAGGAACACCGGUGGCGAAGGCGGUUCUCUGGGCCUUACCUGACGCUGAGGAGCGAAAGCGUGGGGAGCGAACAGG
rnacentral:rRNA from 1 species